rnacentral:rRNA from 1 species
CAGUCGCCGCGGUAAUACGUAGGUCCCGAGCGUUGUCCGGAUUUAUUGGGCGUAAAGCGAGCGCAGGCGGUUAGAUAAGUCUGAAGUUAAAGGCUGUGGCUUAACCAUAGUACGCUUUGGAAACUGUUUAACUUGAGUGCAGAAGGGGAGAGUGGAAUUCCAUGUGUAGCGGAGAAAUGCGUAGAUAUAUGGAGGAACACCGGUGGCGAAAGCGGCUCUCUGGUCUGUAACUGACGCUGAGGCUCGAAAGCGUGGGGAGCAAACAGGAUUAGAUACCCGCGUAGUCCCUGUCUCUUAUACA